CCUACGGGUGGCAGCAGUGGGGAAUAUUGCACAAUGGAGGGAACUCUGAUGCAGCGACGCCGCGUGAGUGAAGAAGUAUUUCGGUAUGUAAAGCUCUAUCAGCAGGGAAGAACAUAACGGUAUCUGCCUAAAAUGCCCCGCCUAAAUACGUGCCAGCAGCCGCGGUAGUACGUAGGGGGCAAGCGUUUGCCGGAUGUACAUGGUGUAAAGGGAGCGUAGACGGAUAUGCAAGUCUGACGUGAAAGCCCAGGGCUCAACCAUGGGACUGUUUUGGAAACUGUAAAACUGGAGUGCAGGAGAGGUAAGCGGAAUUUCUAGUGUAGCGGUGAAAUGCGUAGAUAGUAGGAGGAACACCAGUGGCGAAGGCGGCUUACUGGACUGUAAAUGACGGUGAGGCUCGAAGGCGUGGGGAGCAAACAGGAUUAGAUACCCUAGUAGUC
rnacentral:rRNA from 1 species